rnacentral:rRNA from 1 species
GACGAACGCUGGCGGCGUGCCUAAUACAUGCAAGUCGAGCGAGCGAACCUAACAGAUUUACUUCGGUAAUGACGUUAGGAAAGCGAGCGGCGGAUGGGUGAGUAACACGUGGGGAACCUGCCCCAUAGUCUGGGAUACCACUUGGAAACAGGUGCUAAUACCGGAUAAGAAAGCAGAUCGCAUGAUCAGCUUUUAAAAGGCGGCGUAAGCUGUCGCUAUGGGAUGGCCCCGCGGUGCAUUAGCUAGUUGGUAAGGUAAAGGCUUACCAAGGCGAUGAUGCAUAGCCGAGUUGAGGGACUGAUCGGCAACCUUGGGACUGAGACACGGCCCAAACCCCUACGGGAGGCAGCAGUAGGGAAUCUCCACAAUGGACGCAAGUCUGAUGGAGCAACGCCGCGUGAGUGAAGAAGGUUUUCGGAUCGUAAAGCUCUGUUGUUGGUGAAGAAGGAUAGAGGUAGUAACUGGCCUUUAUUUGACGGUAAUCAACCAGAAAGUCACGGCUAACUACGUG